AAAUGGACACACAAAUGAAUAAUCAGCAUAUGUAAGUAAUUUUCCAAAUUUUAAAAUAUAUAUACAUAUAUACAAUAAUUUCCUAUAUUCCUAGGCGUGCAAAAACGGAGAGGACAACUCAGGAGCAGCUGCAACAUUACGUAAUGUUUUGCAAGCAGCAUCCUGAGUUGCAACGGGGGAAGCUAACUCCGACCAACCCUCAAGGGCUGUAAAUACUUUGGUCGGAGUUAGCAGAUAAUUUAAAUGCCUUAAGAGGCCCAACUCGGUCGGCAGCCAAGUGGAAGGAGUCAUUAAUGCAUUGGAAACACCAGUUGCGAUCGCGAGCGCGCAAACUGAAGACCCAUGCGCAAGCGACUGGUGGAGGCCCUCCGAUAAGUGGAAUGACUCCAUUCGAGGAGCAAGCCAUAACAACAUUUGGGGCAGCAGCGGUGGAUGGAUUACCGGGUGUUGCGACUUUGGGUCAUCAGGUUUUGCCGUUGUAUAUAAAUACACAAGCUCCAGCUUCCUCGCCAACACCAACAUCGCCUGCUCCAGCACCCUCACUAGCAGUCGCAUCGCCUGCUCCAGCGCCAACACCAACAGUCGCAUCGCCUGUUCCAGCAUCUUCACUAGCAGUCACAUCGCCUGCUCCAGCUUUUCCUGCUUUAUCAAUAAAUUUUUCUUCCUCGCCUUCACCUCAUUUUUCUUCUUCACCAUCACCUCCAUCUUCUUCUUUAUCUCCUCCCAUAUUAUCUUCUCCUAUGCCAUCGUCUUCUUAUAUCCCUCCCGAAAAAUUGACUGCAGCGAAGAUGCUUGGAACAGUGCUAAAAAAAAAAAGGAGAACAGAGAAAAGCGAGAGGAGGAGGCCAUUGCUCUACAAAGAAAAAUUGUAGAGCAAAAUGUGCAGAUGGCAGGGGUGCUGGCUCAAAUGACACAGGCACUAACCUCGCUGUCUGAGGUUAUGGCUAAGU